AUUGAACGCUGGCGGCAGGCUUAACACAUGCAAGUCGAGCGGAGAGAGGUAGCUUGCUACUGAUCUUAGCGGCGGACGGGUGAGUAAUGCUUAGGAAUCUGCCUAUUAGUGGGGGACAACAUUUCGAAAGGAAUGCUAAUACCGCAUACGUCCUACGGGAGAAAGCAGGGGAUCUUCGGACCUUGCGCUAAUAGAUGAGCCUAAGGCGGAUUAGCUAGUUGGUGGGAUAAAGGCCUGUCAAGGCGACGAUCUGUAGCGGGUCUGAGAGGAUGAUCCGCCAGACUGGGAGUGAGACACGGCCCAGACGCCUACGGGAGGCAGCAGUGGGGAAUAUUGGACAAUGGGCGGAAGCCUGAUCCGGCCAUGCCGCGUGUGUGAAGAAGGCCUUAUGGUUGUAAAGCACUUUAAGCGAGGAGGAGGCUACUUUAGUUAAUACCUAGAGAUAGUGGACGUUACUCGCAGAAUAAGCACCGGCUAACUCUGUGCCAGCCGCCGCAGUAAUAC
rnacentral:rRNA from 1 species